UAAAUAUGACUCAUCGUUAGAUUCUGUCCUCUCCAAAAAGAGUCUGUAAUUCUGUAUUACUCAACAAAAAUAUCAAAUUACCCAGGAAAAGACAAGUCCGUGUAAUUUUGAACACGACGUCGUUCAGCCCUGCCCAAAUCAAGCGAAAGUGAGUCAGAGGAGCUCAGACGUUCAGUAAUGGCGGAUGUUAAGGACUCAGGAGCGAUUACUAGGUAUGGAAUCGUAGGGAUUGGUAUGAUGGGAAGAGAACAUCUCAUCAAUCUUUACCAUCUUCGUGACCAAGGCCUCGCCGUCGUUUGUAUCGCCGAUCCUCACCCUCCCUCACAGCUCCUUGCCAUUGAACUCGCUCAAUCCUUUAAUUGGGAACUCAAAGUUUUCUCGGGACACGAAGAGUUGCUCAAGAGUGAGCUGUGUGACGUGAUUGUUGUGUCUUCUCCAAAUAUGACUCAUCAUCAGAUUCUUAUUGACAUUAUCAAUUAUCCAAAACCACAUCAUGUUCUUGUUGAGAAGCCUUUAUGCACCACAGUUGCUGAUUGCAAACAGGUUCUGGAGGCUGCAAAGAAAAGGUCAGAUAUGGUGGUGCAAGUUGGGUUAGAAUACAGAUACAUGCCCCCAGUAGCUAAGCUCAUAGAAAAAGUUAAAGGUAGAGAUUUUGGUAAUGUCAAGAUGGUAGCAAUCCGAGAACAUAGAUUCCCUUUCUUGGUUAAGGUGAAUAACUGGAAUAGAUUCAAUGUGAACACUGGAGGGACCUUAGUGGAGAAAUGCUGCCACUUCUUUGAUCUGAUGAGGCUCUUUGCCGGUGCAAACCCUCUAUGUGUGAUGGCUUCUGGAGGCAUGGAUGUGAACCACAAGGAUGAAGUUUAUGAUGGAAAGGUUCCUGAUAUAAUUGAUAACGCUUAUGUUAUAAUUGAGUUUGACAAUGGAUGUCGUGGGAUGCUUGAUCUUUGUAUGUUUGCUGAAGGAAGCAAAAAUGAGCAAGAAAUAUCUGUUACUGGUGACGUUGGAAAGAUAUUUCCAACUAUUCCCAAACCACUAUAUACUCCUGUAACACUCUCAUCUGAAGCAAGGCUCGUGCAUAUAUAUAGGGGGAGGCACUUGUUCCAGAGGGCAUAGUUCGAUUUGGCAGUCGUGCAAAAGGAAGAGAACACGAUCAAACGAUAAAAGCUGAGGAUGAAAGAAUAAAAUAUGAAGGGUUGCAUCACGGGUCAAGUUACUUGGAACACCUCACCUUCUUAUCAGCAAUCAGAGGUGAAGGAAGUGCAGCUGUAGAUUUGGAAGAUGGAUUGAUGGCUGUUGCCAUGGGAGUUGCUGCACAGCUCUCCAUUGAGGAGCGCCGCUAUGUAACUAUUGACGAGGUCUUGUGAUUUGUGACUGACAGAUAAGUAAAGAAACUAAUAUAGAACCUUUGUAAAUCUUGUAUUGUUGCUGUUCAUUAUAUGUCUGCCAUACGACUGUUUAUUGUAAGAAGUUAAGAACUAAGAAAGAGAGAGUGAUUAUCGUAAAAAAAAAAGAAAGAGAGAGUGAUCAACUGUUAUAAGAUAUAAGCCAA